ACUUUGGUGCUCCAGCACCCUAUCCAGACUCAGAGAAGCUCAAGUAGAUAGUUCAACCAUCACUGGCUGGCUAGAAGGAAGCUACACUUACUGCAGCUAUCCGCUACAGCUUAACUACCGUAUAUCUUCUAAUUUAUCGGACAGCAAAAAAUAAUUAUUUUGGAAAUUGUCCGGGUAUAAUUGGAACAGAUUUUUAUAGAGCAUGCAAAGUGUCCGGAAUAAUUAGAACAAGCAAGCAGCUGCAUGCGAACUAGCUAAGUUUAAUAGAACAGUGUGCGACUGAAUAGUUGCACUAGCUAUCUAAAACUAGCUCUCAAAGCUAUCUAACUGCAGCACUCUAAGUCUUACUUGCCGUCUAUGAACUUUUCAAGGGUAUUGUCCGGAUAUUUAGAACAAAUGUAAUAUUAAAGCACUGGAGUGUCCGUUGUAUUAGAACAACGAAAAUUGCCCAAAAGAGUGUCCGGGGUAAUUAGAAGUGUCCGAUAAAUUAGAAGAUAUACGGUAAUAUAAAAUCGAAAGUUGUAUUCCUAACAUAUUUGCCACCAAAACACAACAAAAUGAAGUAUUUCUCAGAACUUACUAGUAGCCCAGACUUCCGUUGAAGCUCAAAAGAUGAGCAAUAUACUCAGGUACAUACACAACAAAUUUCAGAUCUUAACUCAAACAAAUAACUAUUCCUAACAUAUUUUCGGAAGUACACAUCUUCAGACAGCCAUUUUAUACUGAUGAUGUCAUGUGAUGUAACAGGUGGUGGUCCAAUGGAAGCGCCAAUAGUUGAACUUUAAGUACCUGCACUCAAAUAGAUCAUAUCACUUUUGUGGGGGUUGUUAUAAAACAGGGAAUGAGAAAUGAGGAAAUGAGGAAUGAAGAAAUGAGGAAAUGAGGAAAUAAGAAAUAGGAAAUGAGGAAAUGAAGAAAUGAGAACGAGAAAUGAGCUGUUAGGCAGAGCAUAUCUAUGGGCAGAGCAAAUCUGAAGACGAAGCUAACAUCUACUGAGCUACAGGUACGUACCUCCUGGUGACAAGUCUCCUGGUGCUCUGCCACCAUACAGAACUUAUGUUCCUCUGGUACACUGUGUGACACUCUCUACCUCUGUCUACUUGUGUGCCAUGUACGACUGGCAUGGUUCAGACAUCAUAUCUACCUACGUAACGGUACUUACAUGUACUGUCCUACAGUCCCACAGUCUCAAACAAUUUACCUAUGCGUGGCUAUACUGGCAAUACAUUCAAUGAUUUCACAAUCCGGUGGGCAAGUGAUAGUCAAUGGACUGGACUCAAUGUCAACAUCUACAUGUAAGUAACAGCAAAGAAACCUCCAAAACUGUUUGUCAAACCAAGCAAAUUCUAAUGAUCUGCCAGUCCUGUCGUAAAGUAGCCUCGAUUCAAGGCCGAUUAAAGUAUUUUAAUCGGCCUUGAAUCGAGGCUAGUCGUAAAGCUGCAGGAAGUAAUGACAUUAGUACACUGUACUGGUAUCAUAUCCAAUCUCGCUACAGGGUGAAGAAAGCAAUUCCCAUUACCAUUCUCACAAGCAAUGCCUAGUGAAAGCUGAUGCUACCUUUAAUGAAGAAAGCUCACUGUGCCAUCUGAAGCGAUGGUAAAAUUUAAUUCUUACAAUGUGUCCGACAACCUGUACUGUGUGGAGGUGCCACUAUAAUUAUAUAUUUGAUAACUAAAUACUUAGUCACCUACUAGCUUCUUGGCUGAUAUAUCAGUCAUUACUUUUGUGCAUCUAUAUUGUAAUAAUAAUUAUUAUAACAAUGUCAUAAUUUGUGAUGAAAAUUAAUGCCAUGGUGAUGAUCUUAACCAUAAAUAUAAUUAUUAUUAUUAUUCUAUUUCUUAUUUCUUCAUUUCCUCAUUUCCUAUUUCUUAUUUCCUCAUUUCCUCAUUUCUUGUUUCCUCAUUUCUCAUUCCCUGUUUUAUAACAACCCGACGAGUGGUAGACGAGUGAAAAUGAACGUGGGCAAUCACUAGCUGGGCGGAGCCUGACAGAGCAAAAGCUACAGCAUGCCUACGCAUUGCAAACUCUAAAUAAAAGCUGUUAGCAUCGUAGAUAGUAAGCCAGAAUCAAGCGUGGAGACAUCGUAGACGAGGGCUUACCUAGUAAAGACUAAAGAGACUAAAUAUCUAAAUUUAGCUCAGUUUUUUUCCUGAGUUCAGAACAGACCCACUUGAUUAAUUAUUACAGCAGUAUAGUCUACUCUACUCUAGUCUUUCAUACUUCCUCUACUGACUAAAGGUCUCACGAAGGCUGACUCUACUGCACUGUACUGUACUAGUUACUGUUCAUAACAGAUUAUGUUCCUGGUAAAUGCGCUCCAAGUACUGUGUGGGGGAGGACAGUUAUUGAGGUUUUCUCUCGCCCACGCUCGUUAAAAUUUGUCUACGUCAGUAGGGGAUCACGCGACUUAGCAAGGCAGGCUCUCCUUUUUCUUAGUUGCUUCCUUCUUUUCUUUCUUUGUUCCUCCAAUUUUCUCUUCUGUGACAAAGAACAGAAAAAGGAGAGGCUGCGAAGGAGGCUGAUCCACUGCUUGCACAUGUGCUAACCACUGAAAACUUGCAUUCAAGAACAAGAACACUGACUCAGGACAAGGAGGACUUUGACAAGUUCCUGGACCUGGAGAGUGUCAAAGCUCAGCAGCUCUCACUCUCCACAAAAGCCCCAUCCCUCACUGUCUGACUCGGAAGAGGAGAUAGACUUUGGAUUCUGGGAGAAGGCGUCCACCCUACCCUCGGACAAGACCCCAACCAAGGAGAACUGUCACUUGUCUGUUUUUGUUCAAUAUGUAUAUACCACUUCAUAAUCACUAUAAUUAUGAUUAUUCUCAAUGUAACAAUGCAACAUUACAAAGAGAAACAGUAACAAAACAUACUGAGAAUGGAGGUACGUACAGGU